rnacentral:lncRNA from 1 species
UCUUGUGUAAUUGGUUUCUGUAGGUAAUAACUGAGUUUUCUUAGCGAGCUCCAGCACCUACUGCUAAUAUGCUGUGUGCUUAAAUCAAUCAAAUGAUAAGUUAACCUCUAGUGUUAGAGCUAAUGCAGAAAUAUUUUUGCCUUCCUUUUAGCAGCUAUAAUAUGGCUCUAAUAUACUCUGUACGGUUCCUCUGAUCUAUCAAACAUGGAUCAUGCAUUUCUGACAAUCCUCUUUGGACCCAUGCUGUGAUCAUAAGUGCUAGUAGAUUGCAGGACACUUUUGUGGCUAUAUCCUACAAAGCAGGACUGCUUUUUACAAAUGCAUUAAACAUUCAUACAGACAAAUGUGAAUUUUUUUAGAGCAGAAGCCCUAUUUGCUUGGACAUGUAUGUAUUUUAUAUUUAUAAUUUUUACCAUACCACGCACUGCUCUCUAGAAUUUGAGCUCUGAGAAUCAUUCCUUGGCCUCAGUAAAUGUUGUUUCAUUUAAGACCAAGGGAACAAAUGAAAAUUGCUCAGAUUUACAUUUCAGUGAAAUCUCAUAAGUAAUGCAUGAACUGUGUUUCAUAACUGACUUGUACAGGGCAUUAAGUACCUUGUAACACUCAUCACCUUCUGUAAGGAAACUACAUAGUAGAGAAAUUCUUCCCCUCUUUCAUUUCCAAACUACAGAAAAUCUGGAAGAAUUAUGAGGGAGGCAACUAUUGGUGAAAACUAAAAAUGUUUCUUUUUAAUUAUCAGGGAUUGUCCUGAUUUAGCUAGUUGUUACUGACUAUGGGACAUCACAGAAAAGACUUGUAUUCUGGAUGCAUGAUGUGCUGAAGUGACUGUCACAGUCAGGACUUUUCAGUAUGAGUUUAAUAUGAAUGGAUAGAUCCACUGCCAAGAAACAUGCUGAUGGAAACAACCACACCAGCUCAAAGCUUCUUUCUUAUGAAAGAAAGAAAUGAAAGCUUAUGAAAGCUUCUUUCUAAAGUUCCUCAGGGUUGGUUCCAGGACUGAACCUGCAAGACUGCACAACAGGACAUGUGUGCAUGUGCUGCUUACAUGAUGCAAAUCAACAGACAAGCAGGAGCUAUUCAUAACAACUCCCCACAUGUGGAAGCCUAGAAGAUAAGGUGGCAGAUGUUCAUGUCUCAAACACCUACACCUGGGUAGCCUUAGAGCCAGCCAAGGGCUGCUGGUAAGAACACACUGUGAGAAGGAGCAGGGUGAAGAAGUGGCUGAAGAAGGGGGGACUCAUGAAGGUAGGGCAGCACUUGUCUGGGGGACACAUUCUGGCUCCUGGAGAUAAGCACAGCACACUAUAGCACAGGUGUAGGAAUGAGGCUGAGAAGCAAAUACUGGCUGUAGGGGUGGGAUCAAGACCACAAAAACUCUCUGAACCAUAGAAGUUUUACUGCACAUGAUAACUAAUCUGCAUAGAAAGUGAGAGAAUUAUCUCCAGGUCAGGGAAAACUUAACU